rnacentral:rRNA from 1 species
AGGGAAUCUUCCGCAAUGGACGAAAGUCUGACGGAGCAACGCCGCGUGAGUGAUGAAGGUUUUCGGAUCGUAAAACUCUGUUGUUAGGGAAGAACAAGUACCGUUCGAAUAGGGCGGUACCUUGACGGUACCUAACCAGAAAGCCACGGCUAACUACGUGCCAGCAGCCGCGGUAAUACGUAGGUGGCAAGCGUUGUCCGGAAUUAUUGGGCGUAAAGCGCGCGCAGGCGGUCUUUUAAGUCUGAUGUGAAAGCCCACGGCUCAACCGUGGAGGGUCAUUGGAAACUGGAAGACUUGAGUGCAGAAGAGGAGAGUGGAGUUCCACGUGUAGCGGUGAAAUGCGUAGAGAUGUGUAGGAACACCAGUGGCGAAGGCGACUCUCUGGUCUGUAACUGACGCUGAGGCGCGAAAGCGUGGGGAGCAAAC